rnacentral:rRNA from 1 species
CCGGUUGAUCCUGCCGGACCCCACUGCUAUCGGGAUGGGACUAAGACAUGCUAGUCGUGCGCCUUCCAGACCAUGUGGGAGUGCGCGGCAGACAGCUCAGUAACACGUGGCUAACCUGCCCUUGGGAGAGGUGCAACCCCGGUGAAACUGGGGCUAAUCCCUCAUAGGUGAAAAACUCUGGAAUGAGUUUUUGCCCAAAAGGUGUCGGAUCAUGCUUUCGGCAUCGCCCAAGGAUGGGGCCGCGACCGAUCAGGUUGUUGGUGAGGUAAUGGCCCACCAAGCCUAUUACCGGUGCGGGCCGUGAGAGCGGGAGCCCGGAGAUGGGCACUGAGACAAGGGCCCAGGUCCUACGGGGCGCAGCAGUCGCGAAACCUUUGCAAUACACGAAAGUGCGACAGGGUCAUCCCGAGUGCCGGCCGCUGAGGUUGGCUUUUACCCAGUCUAGAAAGCUGGGGGAAUAAGGAGAGGGCAAGUCUGGUGUCAGACGCCGCGGUCAUACCAGCUCUCCGAGUGGUGUGGACGUAUAUUGGGCCUAAAGCAUCCGUAGCUUGAUGAACAAGUCCCCUAAUAAAGCCCA